rnacentral:rRNA from 1 species
UACGUAGGUGGCAAGCGUUGUCCGGAAUUACUGGGCGUAAAGGGUGCGUAGGCGGUUUUUUAAGUGGGAUGUGAAAUCCUGAAGCUUAACUUCAGAAUUGCAUUCCAAACUGGAAGGCUAGAGUGCAGGAGAGGAAAGCGGAAUUCCCAGUGUAGCGGUGAAAUGCGUAGAGAUUGGGAGGAACACCAGUGGCGAAGGCGGCUUUCUGGACUGUAACUGACGCUGAGGCACGAAAGCGUGGGGAGCAAAC